GGAGCCGUGCCUGAACAAAGGACCACUUUGAUAGAGUGAACCACGAGGGUGAAAGCCCCUCCGACUCCU
rnacentral:tRNA from 1 species